UUUUCAUGUACUGAUGUCUGAGUAUUCUGGUACAACAUGCUAGAAGGCCUUUCUCCAACCACGAAGCAUCUUGGAGCCUUAUAAGAAACAAUUGCCUGCAUUUGUGCAGCUGUGUCUCUGGAGGAGGUGUUCUGUCUAUUAAGCAGACUACGCACAUCGUUUCACCAGUCUGUACUGCUGCACGUCCUGUAGCUUCAGAGUAAGCCCUGGAACAGGGUAUCACAUAGUUCCUGAUCUUAGUGCUUCCCCAGCUGUUGGGAUUAUAAUGGGGUCCCAGCAACAUGAGAAUGAAGAACCAAUAAACAGAAGAGAAAUCUACUUUAAAAGGUUUAAACAGCACAUGGAAGAGCACACUCAUCAAGGCUACCACUUCUUGAGGCUUCCUGAGAAGUAUUUAUGCUUAAAUGUGUGACUGAACAUAUCACCGCCUGUCCUGACACCCAAAGAGACCCCCUCAAAGUUCUCAUGUCUGAGUGAGGGAACAGCAUCAUUCUGGACAUCAAGGACUUUCUAUGGACUUUACUCAUCCUGUCUCUGACUUAAGUGUUUUUGCUUAGGUUCUCCAAGAAUAGAUUAAAUCUACAGGUCUGAGAACUUUGUGGAAAAGCAUGUUUGAGAAAGGGGAGGGAAGGAGCUAGGAGAGAUUGACUGCUCUGGAUAAGAUAGGAAUGGUUGGGUGGGAUCAAUCUUUACAUAUAAUACAGCUUCAAGAAAAUCCGCAGGGGGAAUACCUUAGCCAGGGCUACCCACUAAAUGCACCCUCAUCUACUAAGAAGGAGCCUGACCUAGUGAGAACAUGAUUGGGAAGGAAGUGUGAUUGGGCAUGAAUGCUAGGACCUAAUGUCACAGCAGCUACUUAAGGUCUUCAAUCAAUGAUGCCUCCUGCAGACAGAGACCUAGAAAGGAUGCAUUCCUGUGUUUUACCUACUAGUCAUGAGAAGAAUACCAGAGAAGUUUAAUAUGAAUAAUAAUUAACAUCUAAUGUAGAAGAUGCUAAAAUAUAUAAAUACAACUCUCCUAAAGCUUAGGGAGAAUACCAAAGGAAGAUAAAAUCAUGGAGAGGUGUGAAGUUUGCAGAUGCAUGGUUCCAACACUGACACUGGGACAUUUGCUGCUUUGCUGGGGCUUGGGCUGAUAUGAACUGACAACAAGCAGAAAUCAGUCCUUUGGGAUACACCAGAUACCAUUGUGUGAGUGUGCAGAGGAACAGCAGAUGAGAGCAAUCUUCACAGGGACCUAGAGAGGGAUUUGAGAUAUCCUGGCCAAUGGGGUGCUGAUUUCUAUUGAGAGAUCACAGAAAAGCCACUAGGCUGGACUGGAAUUCCAAACACAAAGCUGUGUUAAAGCUUCAAUAGGUCCCUCACCUCAUCCCACAAGUCCACUACCUUCCAGUGAGGCCUUUAUCCUGCUGUAUGCCUGCUCUGCAGUGAAGAGUGUGAACAUGGCGGCCACUGUGAAGAAAAGAUGUGAGGGAAACUACCCAUUACAUCAGAGCCAGAGGGAAAGGUGACCUUGGAGCUCACAGGAAACACUAAUCACUAGGAUAAGUGGUUGCCUCAGAAACCCUUUGAAGUUAGUACUUUCCUUUAGUACUUUGCUUUGGCAAACAAGAAAAAUAUUAACUCUACUCAAUUCAAUUAAUUUUAACAAAUGGAUAAAACUAGAGAUAUAUAGAAUUAAAAUAGAACAGUCAUACAGUUGUAAUUACUAUAUACUCCCUGUACAGAAAGCUCCUUUUUCUUAUAAGUGUACCUCGUAAUGAUAUAAUAAAAGCAAAAAGUCAAUUACAAACCCAUAGAACUAAACUUAAAUUAUAUGGGCCUGAAUGGACAACUUUGAGAUGAAUUACUUUCAUGGAAAAGGUAAUUGAAUAAAAAUUAUUUUCAGGAUAUACACCAAAAAUCUAAAUAUACAAUGUUUCAUAGAAGAAAGAGGGACAAUUGCUUCUUUAAUAGAGUAGAAAGCUGAGGUUCGGGGAUAGUGAGGAGCUUGCCGGUCGCAUAUUUAGCAGGUGGAAGAGCUGCAGUUACAAACAGAAGCCUCUACAACUCCAGAGCUGCCCUUGACAAACAUCCUGUGUUGCCAUGAUGAGUCCCCACUGGCCUUUCCCAAUGGCUGGAAGAUUUCCCUAGAGAGUCCCUGGGGUUUGCUAGUACGCCAUCAAAGCAAUCUUUAAUUUGGUUUCUCAGUGUGGAACAGGCCGAAGAUGUUUCUCCCUCCUGUCCUGUAACGGUUCAGCUCUGCCAAGAAGACAGGGGUGGGAUUUUCACUGGAUGUGAAGAAAAGAAGCCUGCUUUGUAAAAGUGAGUCAAGGAUGAAGUCACUGGAAUGCAUGGGUAUGAAGAGCACAAGGACUCUGUGGCCACUCGGCCUGUAGGACUGGAAAGAACGAUGGUUCCUCCACAGAGAUCCUCACAGCUCUGCUCCUUUAUCUCCUCGAGGCUAAUUAUGAAGAACAAGCUGUAGCAAAGCCAGAUUUCUGCUUGAAGGGUCCAGGAAUAUAGAAAUAUACAAUUGUAAACCUAGUAAAAUAAAAGCUGACAGUCAUCAGUUACAAAGGUUAACUUCCAACAAUGGCUUUCUGCUUACAACCAGCUCCUCUGUCAACAGCCAGGGGUUAACUUUUAACCCCUUUCCCCAAUAGCCAACAACUGCCUGGACCAAAGUUAACUUUCCAUAGAUGCUUCUAUAUGACUCCUAGCAUGCACCCCAUGCCUGACGUUUUCUCCCUUACUAUAAAAAGGAGGCCAGAACCUGCCUCCAUUGCCACAGCCUCAGAAUCCUGAACACUGGCUGUGGUCUCAGGUAACUAAUGAGCUUUUGUGCCUCGUGGUGAUUUUUUUCUUUUCUUUUCUUUUUUUUUUCUGGAAUAAAGUCUGUUUCUGGU